GUGCAGCAGGCGCGAAUCUUUAGCAAUGCCCGAAAGGGUGACUAUGCGACGCCGCGUGAGCGAUGAAGUCCUUCGGGACGUAAAGCUCUGUCAGGUGGGAUGAAUUUUUCGACCUUAACAGGGUUGGAAUUUGACCGUACCACCAGAGGAAGCCACGGCUAACUCCGUGCCAGCAGCCGCGGUAAUACGGAGGUGGCAAGCGUUGUUCGGAUUUAUUGGGUGUAAAGGGCAUGUAGGUGUCCUAGUAAGUCCUGGCUGAAAAUCCUUUCGGGCCUACAACCGAAGAACGUGUCGAAGGAAACU
rnacentral:rRNA from 1 species